GGUGGCUCAGUGGUAGAGUACUUGCCUUACAUUCAUGAAGCCCUGGGUUCAAUUCCUCAGCACCA
rfam:Dipodomys ordii contig_13471, whole genome shotgun sequence.